AUUGAACGCUGGCGGCAGGCCUAACACAUGCCAGUCGAACGGUAACAGGAAGCAGCUUGCUGCUUUGCUGACGAGUGGCGGACGGGUGAGUAAUGUCUGGGAAACUGCCUGAUGGAGGGGGAUAACUACUGGAAACGGUAGCUAAUACCGCAUAACGUCGCAAGACCAAAGAGGGGGACCUUCGGGCCUCUUGCCAUCGGAUGUGCCCAGAUGGGAUUAGCUAGUAGGUGGGGUAACGGCUCACCUAGGCGACGAUCCCUAGCUGGUCUGAGAGGAUGACCAGCCACACUGGAACUGAGACACGGUCCAGACUCCUACGGGAGGCAGCAGUGGGGAAUAUUGCACAAUGGGCGCAAGCCUGAUGCAGCCAUGCCGCGUGUAUGAAGAAGGCCUUCGGGUUGUAAAGUACUUUCAGCGGGGAGGAAGGGAGUAAAGUUAAUACCUUUGCUCAUUGACGUUACCCGCAGAAGAAGCACCGGCUAACUCCGU
rnacentral:rRNA from 1 species